AGACCCGAAACCCGGUGAUCUAGCCAUGGGCAGGUUGAAGGUUGGGUAACACUAACUGGAGGACCGAACCGACUAAUGUUGAAAAAUUAGCGGAUGACCUGUGGCUGGGGGUGAAAGGCCAAUCAAACCGGGAGAUAGCUGGUUCUCCCCGAAAGCUAUUUAGGUAGCGCCUCGUGAAUUCAUCUCCGGGGGUAGAGCACUGUUUCGGCUAGGGGGCCAUCCCGGCUUACCAACCCGAUGCAAACUGCGAAUACCGGAGAAUGUUAUCACGGGAGACACACGGCGGGUGCUAACGUCCGUCGUGAAGAGGGAAACAACCCAGACCGCCAGCUAAGGUCCCAAAGUCAUGGUUAAGUGGGAAACGAUGUGGGAAGGCCCAGACAGCCAGGAUGUUGGCUUAGAAGCAGCCAUCAUUUAAAGAAAGCGUAAUAGCUCACUGGUCGAGUCGGCCUGCGCGGAAGAUGUAACGGGGCUAAACCAUGCACCGAAGCUGCGGCAGCGAACGUAUCACCCAAGACAACUUUACGGAGUUGACGAUUGACGGAGCGAAGCGACGUCAAA
rnacentral:rRNA from 4 species